rnacentral:rRNA from 1 species
AUACGAAGGGGGCUAGCGUUGUUCGGAAUUACUGGGUGUAAAGGGAGCGUAGACGGCACUGCAAGUCUGGAGUGAAAGCCCGGGGCUCAACCCCGGGACUGCUUUGGAAACUGUGGUGCUAGAGUGCAGGAGAGGUAAGUGGAAUUCCUAGUGUAGCGGUGAAAUGCGUAGAUAUUAGGAGGAACACCAGUGGUGAAGGCGGCUUACUGGACUGUAACUGACGUUGAGGCUCGAAAGCGUGGGGAGC